UACGAAGGGGGCUAGCGUUGUUCGGAAUUACUGGGCGUAAAGCGUGCGCAGGCGGCUUCUCAAGUCAGGGGUGAAAGCCCAGAGCUCAACUCUGGAAUUGCCUUUGAGACUGAGUGGCUUGAGUACGGGAGAGGUGAGUGGAAUUCCCAGUGUAGAGGUGAAAUUCGUAGAUAUUGGGAAGAACGCCGGUGGCGAAGGCGGCUCACUGGCCCGUAACUGACGCUCAUGCACGACAGCGUGGGGAUCAAACAGG
rnacentral:rRNA from 1 species